rnacentral:tRNA from 1 species
GCAUUGAUGGUUCAGUGGUAGAAUUCUCACCUUCCAUGCAGGAAACCUGGGUUCAGCUUCUGGCCAAUGCA